ACAGCACUUCCUGGCAGCCUCCUGAUGCUGAGACACAGGAUCCUGGAUGCCAUUCCCUGCCCUGGAAAGCCAGCAGCUCUGACACAGGCUGGCACAGAAAGGAAGCUCCUUCUCCCAAAGCCCCCAGCCGUCCUGAGAGCAGCCUCUCUGACUUCUGAAAGCCCAAGGCAAGGCAGCUCAUGCCCAGGAGACCCAUAAGUGCUCCCAUUUUCCAGGUGUGGUUGCACUGGUGCUACAGCUUGGCUACUUUUGCUUUCCAUCCCCACCCCUAUCACACAUCCCUCACUUCUUCCUGCCCUUCCCUUGGUGGGGCUGCUGAAUUUCAGACAGGGUUUGCUCAAGCUGGGAUACACCUGCACUGCUGCCUCUGGCUGUGCUUCCAGGUGCAGCCAGGAUUUUCUUGCUCCCAGCUUUCCUCUCUCUUCUCCUGAGCUCCACUUCCCUUUUGCCACUUGGCGUCGGAUCCUCUUCUCACACACUCCCAUCCCUUUGACAUGGCUAUUUUUUCAGGCCUGAAAUGUUUAAGAUUCUAUUUCUCAUAAAAAAAAAUGCUGGCAAAGGGCCGCACAGGUCUGCAGACCAGCUGAUAGGGAUUAAUCCCAGUGUCAGGCUGCCAGUUUCCCAUGGAUAGCCCGGGCUGGGCAGGCAGGGCUGCAAGCCCAUGAUUCAGCAACUUCGCCUGAUUAAUCAAGUCACUUGAUUUUUUAUGCAUGCGAGUGUGCCCAAGGCAGCUGCGAUAAGUCGGCUUCCAGGCAGAGUGUUAGCAGUGCUGGGGAUGUCAAAGGGUUGCUGAUAUUGAUAUAAAUAUAUAGAGAGGCGUAGUAUUCUGAUUAGGUUGUGGUUUUAAAUAGUCCUCGGCAGCAUUCGUUCCGUCGAUAGGAUCCUUUCCGCGAAUUUCCCUGCGCCUCGCACCUCUGAUGCUGCAGUUCUUAAUUAUGGAUACACUUUAUCUGAGUUAAACAUGUAGCAGGCCCCUCAGCAUAAAUUAUACUCGGGGUGUGUGUACUGAGAGCACUUCCCAGGUGUGUGAGAGGAUAAGUGUGUGUUAAAGCAGCACAUGCAUCUCAGAAAAGGUUUAGGAAAUCUUUUCAUUUUCAAAAAAACCCCACAACUCUGCUAAAAUCCCUGAGAACACCAAUCCAGAGCAAUUUUUGUGGAAAUGUGACUUAGUCUCAGAUGGUUCUGCCAGGUGUAAAUAAAUGAAAAGCAGCGUGCUAAAAGAAUAUGUGAGGGAAAAUCAGAGAAUGAAGGUUUGGCUCCAGGGGAGUCAAAGGGAUGCAGAUAUUUGUG